AGAAAAUAAAAAAAAAAUAAAAUUUUCGAGUUAUACUAAAACUAUGCAAGGAAGGAGAAAAAAACAAGAAGAUAGAUAUGUAAUCAUUACAGAUCUUACAAAAUAUAUAAAUCCAAAUGAUUACAAAACAUUAUUUUUAUAUAAACAAAACCCUUUUACCUUUUAUGCAAUUUUUGACGGUCAUAGAGGAAUAAAAGCAUGUGAGUUUUGUAUGACUAAUAUGGUUAAAAAUAUAAUUUAUUAUUUUUAUAGUCAAGAUGAUUCGAAGAGUGAAGAAAUACAUCAGAUGAUGGAAAAGGAAACUAUGAAUAAUAAUAUGGAAGUUGUUUCGAAUUGUAGUUAUAUUGUUAACGAGAGUGACAAAUCGGAUAUUGAAGUUAAUCCUUUGGAUAAACAUGUUAGCGGGGAUGUUAACAUCAGCGAUAACAGUAGCAGUAAUAGUAAUUAUUAUGCUAAAGAAUUGAUUAAAAAAUGUGAAAUAAAACCAACUGAUAGUAGUAAUAAUGAGCAUAUUGAUAACGAAUAUAAUAACUCUGAACAUACAAAAAAUAGUAAUAAUUUACAAAAAAAUGAAGAAAAUACAGAAAAUACAGAAAAAAAUGAACAAGAAUUUUGUAAAAAAAAAAGAAAAAAAAGUAACACUAACAACCUAAGUGAUGAGCAAACGGAUAUUCAUUUUGUAAAAAGCAGUAAUUGUUAUUUAGAAGAUUAUAAAAAAAUAAAAAUUAAUGAUAAAAAGUGUGUUCAAUCUGAUAGUAAUGCACAUGUUAUGAAAAAUGAAUAUGACAACAGUAAAGACAUAACUGAUUGUGAGAGUUUUGUCGGUGAUGUUAGUACGACCCUACAUUGCGACAAAACAAAUAAUUGCGAAAAUGCAAACGAAAGUGAAAGCGAAAACGGAAAUGAAAAUGUAAACAAAAAUGAAAACGUAAACAAAAAUGAAAACGAAAAUAGAAACGAAAAUGGAAACACCAAAUCAAAUGAAAAAAAUAAUAUAACAGUAGCAAACCAUAAUAAAAAAAUAAAAUUUUUAAAUGACUUAACAGAUGAAGAAAUAAUAAAUUACAUAAAGUUAGCUUUUAUAAAAACAGAUGAACAAUUCUUAAAUGUAUCUAAAUAUCCUAAGCAUGGAUGUACAGUCAUAUCCUUAAUUUUUUUAAAAAAUAAAAUGUUCGUUGUAAAUUUAGGAGAUUGUAGAGCUAUUGGUAUCGUCAAUAUAAACAACACUAUGCAAGCAGAAGCGCUUUCGCACGAUCACAAACCAAAUGACCCGAAGGAAAAAGAAAGGAUAAAAAAAUGUGGCGGCGACGUGAUCUGUUUACAGAAUGUUUAUAGGGUAAAAGCAAAUGUGAAGAAGGUAGCCAACACUUAAAAAAAAAAAAAAAAAAAAAAAAAAAAAAAAGCUAUAUAUAUAUAUAAUGCAUAAAAAUAAUAUUGGAACACAUACACGUAUGAUAUUUUUUUAACAAUUAUUAUAUGUAUAUUUUAUUUAUUUAGACAAGCCAUGAUAAUACAAAUUUACUUAACAGAGUAGCUAUGAAAGAUGAGGUGUUUCUAGCUGGUAAGUUUCAACAUAGUGAAAAAAAAAAAAAAAAAAAAAAAAAAACACGACGUAACUAACCGUUUAUAAUAUAGUUGUUUAUAUUAGAACGUGAAUACGCACGUACAUAUGUAAAAAUUGUUUUGCAUUAUAUUUUUUUUUUAGUCUCAAGAGCUAUAGGAAACAAGGAUUUUAAAUAUAACCAUGUUAUAUCUUCCACACCUGACGUUAUAUGUAAAGAAAUAUAUAAUGAUAACAUAAAUGAUAAAAGUAAUUACGAAAAAUGUGAAAAUAAAUGUACUCAGCUAAAUAUGGAACA
ensembl:lncRNA